GACGAACGCUGGCGGCGUGCCUAAUACAUGCAAGUAGAACGCUGAAGAGAGGAGCUUGCUCUUCUUGGAUGAGUUGCGAACGGGUGAGUAACGCGUAGGUAACCUGCCUUGUAGCGGGGGAUAACUAUUGGAAACGAUAGCUAAUACCGCAUAACAAUGGAUGACACAUGUCAUUUAUUUGAAAGGGGCAAUUGCUCCACUACAAGAUGGACCUGCGUUGUAUUAGCUAGUAGGUGAGGUAACGGCUCACCUAGGCGACGAUACAUAGCCGACCUGAGAGGGUGAUCGGCCACACUGGGACUGAGACACGGCCCAGACUCCUACGGGAGGCAGCAGUAGGGAAUCUUCGGCAAUGGGGGCAACCCUGACCGAGCAACGCCGCGUGAGUGAAGAAGGUGUUCGGAUCGUAAAGCUCUGUUGUAAGUCAAGAACGAGUGUGAGAGUGGAAAGUUCACACUGUGACGGUAGCUUACCAGAAAGGGACGGCUAACUACGU
rnacentral:rRNA from 1 species